rnacentral:lncRNA from 1 species
AAAACAGGUAAAUAUGUACUCGUUAUUUACUUUUGUUACAGCAUUUCAUUCACAACAGUACAGCAACUAUUGUAAAGGUAAAUGCAAGUCUGUAAAUCACAAAGUACCGUAACAUAUGUAUGAGGAAUAUACAGUAAUACAGCACAUUUUGAAUACAAUACACUAUCUGUAACAUGAUCUAUUUGUGAAUUCGACAUGUCAUAUAUCGGACUGCACAACAACCUCAUGCUGGUGGCAGAGCAGCAGUAUUCAGCCAUCAGCAAGAAGAAGAAAUUUGCAACAUGGUCAUAGCCAACAAUUCCAUCAGGCUAAGAGAGAUCCAAAGUGCAAUCAUAAAUGACAACAAUAUGUUCGCAAAUAUCAAUUCUGUCAGCAUUUCCACUAUAGACAAAGUUUUGGGAAAAAAUCGAAUCAAAAUCAAACUUUUUUUGAGGAAUAGUGACAGAGUGAAGGAGCUGCGGUACCAGUAUGUCCAGAGAAUAAUGGAGCUGGAAGGACAUGAAAUGACCCACAUUCUUGUUUUUGUGGACGAGGCUGGGUUCAAUCUGGCUAAAGGCAGGAGACAUGGCCGCAAUCUCCUUGGACACCGAGCCACAAUUGGCACACCAGGCCAACAUGGGGGCAAUAUUCCAAUGUGUGCUGCCAUUUCUGAGAAUGGUGUGAGAACACAUAUUCCACACAUUGGGCCCUAUAACAACCAACUUCUCCUGUCCUUCCUAUAUACACUCUACAGAGACCUAAUACCAGAACACCAAAGAGGUUUAGUUAGACCAGAUUUGCCAAAUUAUGUAAUUGUGUGGGAUAAUGUCAGCUUCCACCGAACCAACAUUGUUAGGGAAUGGUUUGCUGCACAUGAAAGGAUAACAAUGGAGUUCCUUACACCAUCCUCCCCAUCUCUGAAACCGAUAGAGAUUUUUUCAGCAUAGAAGUGGAAAGUAUAUGACUAUCGGGCACAAGAGCAGAUGUCUCUGUUAGAUGUCAUGAAUGCUGCUUGUGAGGACAUCACAGGCGAUUAUUGCAGGUGAUGGUUGCGCCACGCAAGGAGACCCCCCGUGCAUCGCAAGGGAAAACAUCAGAUGUGAUGUUCACGAAUCUCUGGCCAGACCAACAAGAGCGACAGGUUGUCCACCAAGACGGGAACUUGUAGUGUUACGUACUGUGAGGAGGUACAAUUGAAUGUUUUUUUUACAGAACUACCACAGGUCUUUUCAUUGUUGCGUUUUAUUUUUAUUUUUUUG